CAAUGCCAUUUGGUAUCUGACAUGUAGUCUUCUUUUGUGACUAUCUGUCUCGAAAUAUGGCAUAUAAUAAGGGGGAACGGACCUUGCGACAUUGGUGGCUCCUCUGAGAUCCUCCAAUUACUAUAUUGCCGUUUAUAUUU
rnacentral:snoRNA from 1 species